AAUUCAAUCUUGUCAUGGUCAGUAGGAAUUUUCCGCCUAAUUGGGAAUCCUUUGCUUUGCAGGUGCGAGACAAUUCUUCAGCCUGGCUUAAUCUGCACAAUACGAAUUUAAAAGAAUCGAGCAAAGGCAAGGCACCGGGACAAGAAGUUUUAUACAUCGAUGAAGAAUAAUGUGGUGUACAAAUGCCACCACUGUUCACAUUUUAAACAAAAAAGAGGAACUCCUAAAGGCCUGAAGGAAAUAUGCCCACCCAAGCCCACGCCGGCUGCUAAAUCAAAAUCUGCCAAGUCCAUGCUUCAAAAGUCUGCCAACUCGGAGGAAGGCACAAGUAGCAAAGAUGAGAUAAUCAAGAUACACGAGACAACUUUGCCUGCAAUUAAUGGAUACUUCCACCAUGAACAGUCUAGCAAUUCCAUUUGCGAGAGUUAAGACAAACGAGAUAAUUAAGAUUGACGAGACUGCUUUAACUGGUAAAUAUCGGUAAGCACUUACAUCACAAACAGUCCAGCAACUCCACAACCAAGCAACAAAUUUUCUCUGUUGGAUGCAAAGAAGAGAAAGAGAAAUAGAUCAGCAAACAAAAAAGAGCAGUCUGAAAGCAGUUCUGCUGCAAUGGAUGCGGGAAAAACUGUCAGCAGCACGUUAAGUGAAAGAAAGAGAAAAUCUUGGACAACCCUGAAGGAAAUUGUGGAGAAAAGAACACGAUAGGAGUCGAAACAUUGAGGAUCCUGUGCUUCUAGCUCCUGAAACUAAAGAGCAAAAGCCGGGCAUUGCAGCUAUCAAGGACGUUACUCAGACCGUUGAUGGUAUGGUGAUGCCGUGAUGGGCACUGGACAAUGAUUAUAUCGCCCUGAAGAGGCUGAGAAAAGUGGUGGUGGAAGCUGGCAGAUACGUGACACUAGGGAGCUAUUCUACAGUACCCAUCAUGUUGAGGUCCCAGCACAAGUGUGUGGUGCAUUUUGUCCCUGUCAACAAGCAGCUUCCAGAUUGCAGAAAACAUCGGUCCAGCAAGUUUAUGAUGCCGUACAGCAAAAGCUCUCGACCGACAAGGACCAUAACUAGCAUUUCUGAUCAUCCUAAUGUUCUAACAAUUCUUUGGAUGCAGAGAGGAGAAAGAAAAAUAGAUUAGGAUGCAAGUAGCCAAGGGAUCUAAAAGGAGUUUGCUGCAAUAGUUGCUCAAAAACUUGGAACAGCAAGUAAAAGAAACAGAAUCUUGGACUAGCAUGAAGGAAAUGAUUGACAUCAAUGUGCAUGAAGUUGUCAAAACAUAAUUGAUUUGACUAAUUCAAUGUCUGUACAGGUAGGAUAAGCAUUCUUGUGUUUAAGAUGCGAAGAUCACGAGGGGUUAUCUGAAUCAUCUGACUGUGAAACUUCCUUUCGUUUUGCUUUCAUCUUUUUGUUAUCUUUGUCUCUGCCGCUUUUGCUGCCCGACUUCAUUUUAUGCUCCAAAAUCAUGCUGUCUACACAGGUCUAACAUGAUCUUACAACUUUUUCCUGGCUGCGUCAUGGUGCAUUGUAGAGUUAAAUGAAUUUGGUCAUGGCCUAUGGACAUUUAGGUAGAUCGUUAUCUAUAAACAUGAACGGUAUAAAUUAUAACCACCUUUUCUUUUUAAAUGAGCA